UUGGCCUCACCAUCAACAUUGGCCUCACCCCCCUGCUGGCCAUAAUUACCAGCUUCACCCUCCUGCUGGCCCUCAGCGUGGGCCCCAUGCUGCUGCUGCUGGUCCUCAGUAUUGCGCUUGUUCCCCUCUGAUUCCUCCAACCCAGCAUCACCCUCCUGCUGGCUCUCCUCGUCGGCGUCACCAUCCUCCUGUUCCUCCUCACCAGCUUCACCCUCCUCCCAUUCCUCCUCACAGGCCUCACCCUCCUCCCAUUCCUUCUGACUCUCACUCUCCUCUCAUCCCUCCUUGUGAUCCUCCCCCUCCUGAUCCUCCACCCAAGCCUCACCAUCUUCCUUUUCACCCACUCCAGCCUCAUCAGCCUCCUGUGCCUCGAUCCAAGCCUCAUCGUCGUCCUGCUCUCUCGCUCUGGCCUCACCCUCCUCCUGGUCCUCCCCCUCAUUCUCGCCGUGCCUUUCAUCAUCCUCGCCGGCCUCACCCUCCUUCUGACCCUUCCCUCCUGCAUCGUCCUCCCUCUGUUCCUGCACGGUGGCCUCACCCUCCUCCUGGUCCCCCACCCAGGGGUCACCCUCCUUCUCAUCCUUCCCACCAUCUUUGCCCUAUAUCAUCAGGUCCUCUACCCCAGCCGUGCCCUCCUUCUGACCCUCCACAAAACCCUUGAUCUCCGUCUGCUCCUGAACAACCACCUCCCCCUCCUGACACCCCGCACUAGCCUCCUGUUAUCCCUGACCCCUGCUUCAUAGUGCCCUGUACUCCAUUCCCUACCCACACCCUCUAUCUGGUUGUCCUCCAACCUUCUUGAUACUCAGAUCCCAUCCUGGAGAGACUGUUUCCCAACUACAAGGACAGUUCUGGCACAGCUGACAAUUGUAAGGAUGCUGAAUCUCCAGAAGCCUGAUCUGGUGGGCAUAGGGAAUAUGGGAACAUGACAAACCAACCCCCAACCUAAAAACUCAACCCUGUUUGGUUUCAGGACCCUUGUCCAUGAGAAGAUCCCAGUUAUGUGACCCUGUGUGCAUUUGGUCUUCACCCCCAUCUUGUUAACCCUUGUUACGUAGCAAAGGACCUUUCAGUUUUCAUUUAUUCCACACAGGCAAUUCAUUUCUUCUCCUACGUGAGUCUUUUGUGAUUCAGUCUCUACAUUUACAACUAGCUUCCUUGUGAAAUAUUGUAUGUGACUACAGAGCACAGACUGCAGGGUCAGCAUCAGGAAAAGGAGAAAAUAUGAGGAUUGGUCCCACUACUGUGCCUGAUGUUAAACUGAGAACUCACAAAUAAAGCACAAGGACUCUGCUCUAGACAGAUGGAAGCGCACAUGGUUUGGGUUUGGGAUUUUUCGGGUUGGGGACUUGCUUGUAGCUGUUGUUUUGGUCAGCUUCCAUAAAACUCCUAGUUUUCUUUAUCUUGAGCUCAGAAUUUUGCCAAGGACUUCCUGCCUGCAUGAAGGAGUCAAGACCUUCCACUGUAUGCUCCUCAAAAUUCCAAAGGUGAGAUCAUCUACUCCUCUACACCAGGAUGUGAAAGGGAGCAGAUACAGGACAAGAGUGUGUCCAGAUCUCACCGGAUGAUAACAUCAGAUGAACCAGUGGUAUAUUCUCAAGAACUCUGCUUACACUGGAGUUGUUUGCCCCAGAUGAGGACUAGUCUUCAAUUAACUACCUCCUGUGUCUACCGAUGAUGGCGGGAAUCUAAAUGUCACACCUGAAUGUCAACUUCCAUUUUACGAAAAGGAAGAUUUCCAGUGAUCACGCAACAACUUCCAGACACACAAGUGAAUAUUUCAUUCCAGCCGAUAGAGAGACUGCUUGCCAGAAAACAAACGUUUGCAGAACAUUUACAUUGCACGUGUAAUUGUGAGACACAGAUGAUUGAAAACAUUGUAGAUAUUACACCACUACUCCCAGGGAUCAGCAGCAGACGAUU